CCCUUAGAUGUUCUGGGCCGCACGCGCGCUACACUGACCAGUGCAACAAGCAUCCGUCCUUGGCCGACAGGCCCGGGCAAUCUUUGAACGCUGGUCGUGAUGGGGAUAGACUUUUGCAAUUUUUGGUCUUCAACGAGGAAUUCCUAGUAAACGCAAGUCAUCAACUUGCAUUGAUUACGUCCCUGCCCUUUGUACACACCGCCCGCCGCACCUACCGAUUGAAUGGUCCGGUGAAGCCUCCGGAUUGGCGCGCACCUCGGUGCCGCCGAGAAGUUGGCUAAACCUUACCAUUUAGAGGAAGGUGAAGUCGUAACA
rnacentral:rRNA from 1 species